UUCUUUCCCUGCGAAGAAGACUUACCUCGGAUCACCCGGUCAAGUUCUCUCUCUCUCUUUCUCUGAUCUCAAGUGCCACAAUCCGAUAUCUGAAACCAACAUAAAAAAAGAUGGCGUUUUGGAGUAGAAUCGGCCAGUCGAAGCUUCGGCAGUUGUCAUACCAGUCCAAGACUAUCCCUUACGCCGCUUUGAUCAACCCCACUGCUUCACACUCGAAAGCUUGCGUGUUAGAAAUCCCACGUUUGACGAUAGACCUACUGAUUUCGGCAGUAAAGUCAGGUUCUUUGCUGCUCCCAUCCAGGUAAUCGUUCCCGCAUGGCAUUUGAUCAUCUGGGUAAUCUAAAUCUUUAUCCAGUUCUCUUGGGUUUGAUUUAUUUGAUUGAUUGUGUUUUGUGGGUAAUUUAGAUUUUAUGAAGAUAUUGAGGAGUGAGUAAUAGUAAUGCAUAAAUGAUUAGAAUGAGGUGACUUUUCACUUUGAUUUGUAGAUAGACAUUAGGAAUAUGUUUUGUUUUUUUUUUUUGGUGGGUUUUUUUUUUUUUUUUUUUUUUUUUUUUUUUGAGGUGAGCAGUUUAGGUAGAAUUUUACAUUUGGUAUCGAACUUUCCAUCUAAGGGAGUCGAACCUGAGGAUUACUAUUAGACUGCAGUGCUGAGUGGUUAUUUGGUUUUUUGUUUUUUUGAGGUGAGCAGUAUAGGUGGCAUAUUAUUUGGGUUAUGUUUGGGGUAAUUGGUGAGAUAUGUGGGUAUUGAUGAUUUUGGUAAUGUUGAAUGAUGUGUGGUUUUAUUCAUGUAUUGUGCAUUUUCAAACAAAUACAAAGAAGGUAAAGCAGAGCAUGAGCGAUCCGCGUAUGAAUGAGAAGAUUACUGCUAAGUUUGUUAGGCUUGUGUUGGAUGAAGGUUGAAGCCAAGGCCGAUCCUCCUAUUUGUAAAAUCAUGGAUUUUCACAAAGAGAAGUACAAAAAGCAAUUAAGGGAGAAAAAGAAGCUUAAAAUUAAGUCUCACAAGACUUUGUGAACGGAUUUUAAGAAAGUGAAGUUUUCUCCAAAAACUGAAGCUAAGGACUUUAAGAUGAAAACUGAUAUGGUGAAGAGAUUUAUGGAGAAAGGUUAUCGAGUGAAGUGUACUGCCUUGGAUGCUGAGAAUAAGGACUUGGGAGAAUUGUUUUCUCGUGAUAGAAGAUGUAGCUCUCAUCGAAUGUGAGCCAACACUAGGAAAAGGAAAAGAGGCAUUUUUAAUGGUCAGGCAUGUGAAGUUUGGUCCAUCAAAGAAGGGCGGUGCAAAAAAAAAAAAACAAAGGCUGUUGAAAAAACUAGCCCUGAUGCUCAAAAGAAUGGUACUGAUGAUGCAAGUGGUGUUACUUCACAAGUUGAUAUUCCGACUGUGCCACGAAGAGCCUCCUCUCAGUCAGAUAUUAGUGAUCCAGACAUGUUGAAUGCACACCUACAAGAGCGCACAUAGCUCCACUGCCCUCUCAACAGUCUUUUUGUGAGACUCAAAAUAAAUACGGAAAUAAUGAGUUGAGGAAUCCGUACUUGCCAACAAGAAGAAUGGAUAAUAGGGGCCUGGGAAUGAGAGAGCCCCAUGCUUCUCAAAGAACAAGGACACCAACGGACUUGCCCUUCUCACCAACAAGAGGCAUGGAUAAUAGGGGCCUGGGAAUGAGAGAGCCCCACACUUCAUAUCAAAGAAUAGGAACCCCGACGCCACCCUUCUCACCGGUGAGAGAACCCAUGCUCAGACGAAUGCAUCUGUAUUUAGAAACUUGAAUCCUCCUCCUAAUGAUAUCCCCAAGCAAGAACUAUCGAGUCCAAGUGCUCCCCGUACUCCAGGACUUGGUUUUGGGAUAUUUAGCAAUCCGAAAGGUGAUGCUCCCGCUAGACAAGGUGUAUUAGAAACUCUCCCAUCAAAUUCAAACUUGCGUGGUUUAAGAUCUGAUAGUAGCCAAAGACCAAGCACAGGUAUGGACAAUGUUGGACAGCGAGGAUUCGGGAUCUUCAGUAAAGAAAGCUCAAGUGAUACCCCAAACAGGAUACCUAAAGCCAAACUAGGACGCAGGCAUAAUAUUUAUAUAUGAUGAAGUGAUGAUUAUUUAAGAAAUACGUUAUUAUUUGUAUGGUUGUAAAAAUAAUUAGUCAUUGUAUUAACCAUUAUUUUGAGAUGACCAGAGAAUUAUCUUCCCCUUAAAAAUUUAGAUGUUGUGCCUGGUGGGUUUGCCAUACGAAUUUUUGAGAUGAUAAUCUAUAUAAUUCAUAAAGUAGGCAGUUUAUGCAA